AACGCGGCGAAAGCCGCACUAAUACCGCAUAAGACCACAAGGGCCGCAUGGUCCGGGGGUCAAAGGAGCGAUCCGGUGGAAGAUGGGCCCGCGUCCGAUUAGGUAGUUGGUGGGGUAAAGGCCUACCAAGCCUGAGAUCGGUAGCCGACCUGAGAGGGUGAUCGGCCACACUGGAACUGAGACACGGUCCAGACUCCUACGGGAGGCAGCAGUGGGGAAUAUUGGGCAAUGGGGGAAACCCUGACCCAGCAACGCCGCGUGAGGGAAGAAGGUCCUCGGAUUGUAAACCUCUGUUCCUGGAGAAGAGAAGAAGACGGUAUCCAGGGAGGAAGCCCCGGCUAACUACGUGCCAGCAGCCGCGGUAAUACGUAGGGGGCAAGCGUUGUCCGGAAUAAUUGGGCGUAAAGGGCGCGUAGGCGGCAAGGCAAGUCAGCAGUGGAAGUCCCAUUUUCAAGGUGGGGAGGGCUGUUGAAACUGCGUUGCUUGAGUGCAGGAGAGGUUAUCGGAAUUCCCGGUGUAGCGGUGAAAUGCGUAGAGAUCGGGAGGAACACCAGUGGCGAAGGCGGGUAACUGGACUGCAACUGACGCUGAGGCGCGAAAGUGUGGGGAGCAAACAGGAUUAGAUACCCUGUAGUCCACACUGUAAACGAUG
rnacentral:rRNA from 1 species